CGGAAGACAGCAUCGGGCGGCCGUGCAGCCAGCGGCUCCCGUGGAGCAGUGGCCUCCCUCCUGGGGACGCGCCAGUGCGCACCCGAGACCGGGGGCCACGGCCCCUCCCUCCUCCUCCUCCUCCUCCUCCAGGGAGGCCGGGUCAUCUCGACAGCCGACGGCUCGGACUUGGCACAGCUCUUCCCAAUCAGGGAGGCCUUCCUGGCCCUGGAGCUACGGAACGCUCUGUGUUCUAGAAUCUUCCUCCCUCUCCGCCCAGCGCCUUGGUUCUGGGGCUCCGUCCUCGCCAGACCGCUCCCGGGCCCACAGGGGUCAGGCCGUGUUUCCGUAACCCCACGGGGCUCCACCGACGGUCCGGUCCCGCUCCCCGGCUCCCCUGCCCGCUAAACCUCUCCACAGCAGGCCUCAUCAUUCAGAUCCCAAGUGUCGCCUCUUACCAGAAGCCUUCCCUGAUCACCCCUUCAGAGCAGCCAGGCCCCCGCCGUGACAACUUUCUGCCCUUUGAAAGCACCCAGUUCAGCUCUUUGUUUGCCGGCUGACCACAUCCCGCCCCCCAGACAUCCACGAGGAAAUGCGACAUUCCUGAGGGCAGAUGUUCCUGUCCUAUGCUGUGCGGUGACGCCCUCCCAGCCCAUAGGAGGUGCUCCACAAACACGGGUCGAUUUUCCCACAGUGAGCCCGGGGACGGCUGCGUCCCUGGCCCCGAGGCCGGAGGCAUCUCCAGGACACCGCGGUUUCAGAAGGGUGUUCCUUGAGUGGAGCUGGGGUACAGACCGGGUGCAAGGCUCGGACACAUCCCACCCCAUCACCCCGCCUCCCCAGACGCAGGGGAUGCAUUUCUGAAGAACUGAAAAUCACCCUCUAAUUUUGUAAGGAAGUCAUCUGUAACCUUCCGGGUUCCUGUAACUGCUUUACGCGUAUUGCACAGAAAAACGAGACGACCCCUCGUUGGCUCAGGAGCCAAAGGAAAGUUAAGUCACUCAUGUGGGAGGGCCACCAGGGCUGAGGGCAGAGGGCACGAAGACCAUGGCAAAUAACCCUCAGCUGCUCCCCGAGAAUGAACCACCCCCACUCCGAGUCCGAUCUCCUCCCAGAGAGAAACUCUCAGUGAUACUGGAAUCGCAGUCCGAGAACGCCACCUCGGGACCGUGACUCCCCAUGGUGUCUCUUGCUCGCUCUCGUUACAAAAUUUCUUAAAGGAAAAAUAAAGAAAUCA